ensembl:lncRNA
AUAAAUGAAAUAAAGAAAAUAUAAUAUAAUUUUAUAGUUAUAUAAAUAUAAAAUACAAUUCUAAAUAUUUUUAUAUAUUAUAUAAAAAUAUUUUACUGUAAUAUACUUGUAUACAGACUUUUGUAAAUUAUGCAUUACAGAAAUUGGGGCAUAAUUGUCAUCUUAAAAAUCUGAAGUUGUAUAACCAUACACAAGCUAUAAUUUCAUAUAUCUUGAUUUUGGGGUGAAAUAUGACCUGGUCAGGUUCUUUAAUGGUUUUGUGUGAUUUGACUAAAUGCACCAGCUUACAUACUGUAUCUCCUUCCUGUCUGUAGGUUUUAAGUCGGAGGGGGAAAUAAUGAGUCCAAUGUGAGAUGUUAUUAUCAGCAGACUAAUCUGAAAUGGUUGGAUGUAGAGAAGCAGCUUAAGCUCAUAUUAGCACCUAGUUGUGGCUGCUGAGAGAACAUUUGAGCAGCUAUGUCCUUUAUGAAUGUUUUAUGUAGGUUUGUUUUAUGAAUAGUGCAGUGCUUGAUGGUGUUGUCAUUUAAUAUGUUAAAUCUGUUGCAAGAAUGAAAAACCACACAAAACUGAAAGUGAUUUAGAGGGUUUGGUUGAUCAUUUUCAAGUUAUGGUUAGCAUUACUGCUUUUACUCACAAGACGGCCGCAAUCAUCUAUCAUAAAACCCUACAUUUCUCGCAUAAGCGAAAGCAAGUGUUAUUCAUAAUGGUACCUCUUACUCAUUUUCAAUGCAGAACUUUACCUGAACUCCCAUAAAACACGUUCUGCUGAAUGUUUACAGUACAGGUCAGAAUAACAGGGAUUGACAUGUCUAUAACAGUAUUUUAUUUUAGAGAAAUGUAAAAUAAACCUUACAUAGCUGUACAAAGAUGUAUUUUUUUUCUUCAUAUUUCAGUCUCAGCAUAUACUGGUGACUGGCAACUCGCCAUAAUGUGUGGUUUAGUCUGCAUCUGACUAGACUUUUUCAUUGGUUGGCACAUGUAACAAGCAGGUCACAGUCAUCUUGUAUGCCUGACAUCAUAAUGGCCCCGAGCAUUAAGAAUUCUGAGAAUUAGCAAAUUUAUCUUGGCAUAUCAGUGCAUGUUUCUAUUUUACAGCCUUAGAUUAAGCAUGAACGUCUAACGGGCAGGCUGGAAAACUCUUGGCCUGCUGUCUGUUCAAUUAGAGUCCAAUCUAACCUUUGUAGAUCUGGCCAGAGUAAUAAGACUUGGGCACAGAAGUUGUGGAGUUUCAUCUGAAACGUCAAUCAGUAGCCAGACUAACCAUUGGAAAUAAAGUUUGGAAUAAAAUAA